AUCCAAAAGCAUGCACCUUCAUGCUAAAUGCAUUCUGAAACCAGAAUAUGCCCACCACUAUUGUGAUUGGCUCUGCACUAGCCAAUGACAGUGUUCUAUGAUACAAUAUAAAAACAUGUUUCAGGAAGCUUCUGUUCAUUCACGACUGGCUACUACUGGAAGUUGGAGGAGUGCAGUCAAGUGAGUCCAUAAAUGUGAUAUAAAUCCCUAAGGCUUCCAAGUACAUCAUUCUCAUAAGCCUUCCAAUAUCAGCAUACAAAGUGAUAAUUCCUUCCAAGUUAAGGGGUCCGUUUCUCUAAAUCUUCCAAAUAGUGCAUACAUAUAGUCUAAUCUUUCAAGGGAUGGAUGUCCUGCUUUUCUAAGUGUGAUGUCUGGUCAUGUAUGGAAAUGAACAGUACUUGUAAUUACUCUGUGUAUUUACAUUUCCAUAGUUUGUCUUUUCUCUUUGUAUUCUGAGAUACUAUUUGGAUGGAUUGCCCCAUGAACAGUGCUUACUGUACACUACCAAAUGUAAAUACACUGCUCUGUGUAUGUAAAAUUUCUUUUCGAGGCUGACUUUGAGACAGAGGGAAGAACAUUUCAGACUCGUAUGUAAGCAAGGUAGAGACAUCUGUGAGCCCAUAAUAUUGUAAAUCAACACAAACCCACACAAUUAGUGGACAAUUCCUAAUAUUUGCAACAUAAUAUUGUAUUUCCUGUUUUAAUUUCUCCUCUCACCUUUAUUUGUAUUGACAGGAACCCCUUUUGGACCAGAACAAAGACUGACAGCACAGUAAAUGACUGACCAAAAUUGUUACUAAUGUGUGGAAUUUCAGCGAUUGCUUUGACACACGGUUCAUGGUAUGACUGUUGUCCCUUUGCUUUCAUUUAGAGUCUGCAACACGAAAGGACAAUGAUGGCAACAAAUAGAGGGGACCGUGUCCUUUUCCAGAUGGUGGCUCUGGAAAAUCUUGAACACCACAGUUUUCCUCUUACUCACGAAGAGGCCCCACGACCCUACCCAUUUCAGCAAGGUGUGGUGCAUCAAGCACAAGCACCUGUUGUGUUAGAGAGAACAGUAAGUGGUGGCAGCACAACAUGGUCAUCACAACAGAACCUAAAUGACAGUGAGUGACAGAUCUCCUUUUCCUCAUUUGUAGAGCUGCUCCAGACUGGACCACUGGGAUGUUGUCAUUUUGAGUGCUGUUGUCAUAAGCUUUGCGCUGUUGGUUUUUGCGAUAGCCUACCUCAUAAUAUCACAGCGUAAAUAAGAAGAUUGUAUGGAAACAAACUUACCUGUUUGUUCAUUAAAAUGUAUUAAAGUUCAUUUUCAAAAGUA